rnacentral:tRNA from 1 species
UGGGAUGUAGCCAAGCGGUAAGGCAGCGGAUUUUGAUUCCGCCAUCGGAGGUUCGAACCCUCCCAUCCCAG